UAAAGUGGCGUACGGGUGGGUAACACGUGGAUCAUCUACCUCUUAGUGGGGAAUAACUCUGGGAAACCGGAGCUAAUACCGCAUAAGCCUGGAAAGGGAAAGCAGCAAUGCGCUGAGAGAGGAGUCCGCGGCCGAUUAGCUAGUUGGCAGGGUAAAAGCCUACCAAGGCAUUGAUCGGUAGCCGGCCUGAGAGGGCACACGGCCACACUGGCACUGAAACACGGGCCAG
rnacentral:rRNA from 1 species